GAUUUCUGACGGACCGACGUGGCCCGUUUCCGUCUCGGGGAUGAGUGCUGUGCCGUGUCUGUCAUCCUUCCAGAGAGCUGCGCCUACCGUUUAUUCGGCCGGGCGUAUGUGAUCUGGAUCUAUUACUUUGAAAAAAUUAGAGUGUUUAAAGCAGGCUUACGCUAUGAAUACAUUAGCAUGGAAUAAUAAUUUAGGACUUCGGUUCUAUUUUGUUGGUUUCUAGGACUGAAGUAAUGAUUGAUAGGGAUAGUUGGGGGUGCUAGUAUUCCGCGGCCAGAGGUGAAAUUCUUGGAUUCGUGGAAGACUAACUACUGCGAAAGCAUU
rnacentral:rRNA from 2 species